rfam:Salmo salar isolate Sally breed double haploid chromosome ssa06, whole genome shotgun sequence.
GUGGCUCAGUUGGUAGAGCAUGGCACUUGCAACGCCAGGGUUGUGUGUUCGAUUCCUACC